UUCUGUUUGCCUUGGGCUGUGUGUCGGCUGCUCCAAAUGAGCGAAUUGUUGGUGGAUCUAAUGCCUAUGCUGGACAGUUCCCGUGGCAGGUUUCACUGCAGGUUGGUAGUGGGAGCUCUUAUUCUCAUAUCUGUGGUGGUAUUCUGAUUGCCGCUAACAGAGUUCUAACUGCAGCUCAUUGUGUAGAUGGUAGAAGUGCCAGUCAGUUUAGAGUUGUUUUAGGUGAACACAGACUUUCGAAUACUGACGGAACUGAACAAUACUUCAACCUAGCUUCUUUAGUUAUGCAUCCAAGUUAUAACGGUAACAACAACAAUGAUGGCUUUGCUCAUGAUUUUGCUGUAUUAAGAUUAAGUGGUUCAGCUAAUACAGGCAGCAGUGCUGUCAGUAUUAUUGGUAUGGCUAAUAGCGGAGAUGAUUUUACCAAUCAACAAUGUACUAUCAGUGGAUGGGGAAGAACUGUCGGUGGUGGAAGUCUUCCCAACACAUUACAGUGGGUAAACAUGCAACAAAUCUCUAACGCCCAAUGUGCCGCAGCUAUGUCAAAUGUCGGUGGUGCUGCAAUAGGAUCUGGCCAUAUCUGUGUUUCCCAAUCUGGUAUAUCUGCCUGCAACGGUGAUAGUGGAGGACCCAUGGUAUGCAGUGGUAGAUUGGCUGGUGUUACCUCAUGGGUUGUGGGCAGUUGUCUUACCACUUACCCAAGUGUUUAUGGACGAGUUUCUGAAUACAGAUCAUGGAUUGACAGCAUCUAA